CUAAAGUUCCUAAACAAAAACCGACAAUCAAACAAGGCCCUGGUACAUCUAACGAGAUAGCCGCAGCAUUUUGACCUUUAAAUUUAAAAUCCUACGAUUUUCUUUAAAAUGUUGAAAUCACAUAACUAUAUAUGACAUGGAUGCUUCAGGUCUGAUAGUAUUUGCCAUCUUUUGUUUGUGAGAGAAAAGCUAGGAUUCUUUCAUCUCUUUCCUCCCAAAAAAAUAGGGGGAAAAGAUGACUGCAAGAAAGAUGCAAUAAGGCUAGAUAGUAGAUAGAUCAGCUUGUUGGAGCCCUAAUCCUCGUGGAGAAACUAAACUGUUUUUUUUUUUUUCCUGAUACUACACAAUUUGUUAUGUUGCGUCUGAUUUUAAUGUAUACAACGUCACCGACUUUUCCAAAGAGUUGUUAUAUUUUGACUCCAGAGAAAUGAACUAUUUCUUUGGCAGUAGGCAUUUAUGCGAAUGUGUUGCACCUGAAUUGAAUGCAUAUAAUGUUAUACUGAAUUUUCCAAAAAAAUGUUAUAUUUUGUGCUGUGAUUGUCUUUUUCUUUUAUCAGGCGCAGUCUCCAGUAUUUUUCUACUCCGCCUGCAGCUGGCAGUAGGAGUCGUUACUUACGAAUUUCUAAGAAAAGAGAAAUUCAAGUUUAGGUUGUAUUCGAAUUAAAACUUAAGGUCUAUGUUGUAGAGAGCGUGUCUCAUAUAUUCGAGUAUAGUCAGUUCUGAACUCCUUCAGAACAGCAUCCUUUUUUACAUUGUUAGCAGCUGUACUUAAGACAGUAACGGGAAUUAAGUAGAAAAUAGGAGAAUGGCCUUGAAAGAGUUUGUGUUGAUCGGUUUUCUAGCCUUGCCACUUCAUUUAGUUCAGCUCAUACAUGCUUAAAACUGUAUAAUAUUUCUUGUUUAUGUUGGUCAUUUUUGUUUUUGUCCUUUUCAGGUUCCUAUGGUUCAACAAUACGUUACAAAUGUGUGAAGGGAUUGAACUCAGUGGGAAAACACUCCCUUCUUGGUGCAAGUGGUGAAAUUAGUGAUUUUCAGGAGAUACUGAAGUACCUUGACGAGCUUAUGUUAGUAUGAUUGGUGUAUAUUAUGAGGACAAUCACGUGGCUACCGGAUUUGGAAAUCACCUUGCAAAGCCCAUUAUCCAUGAUGAAUGGCGUGAAGACUUGAGCUAUGAAGAUUGCAAAAAUCACGGAAGAGGGAGUGACAAUUUCUCAGCCAUACUCAUUAAAGACUUUCUGGAAUUUCUCUGCUUUCCAUAAUCCAACUACCGGUGCGGUGGGGUCAUGGUAACUAGCCCCUGUAUGUCAAGGUUUGAAAAAAGGAAAUAUGUGACGUUUUCCUGGUUCUAAAGUGCUGCAUAGUUAUGGUGGCCUUGGGGAUAUGGACUGAAUCUAUAUUAUGGAAAUUGUCGUUAUGUUGGUCUUUUUUCAUAUGUAACUUAACAGGUACGGCACAUGAUGCAGCACAUCCCUCAACUGUGCCCAUCUUAUUUUCCCAAACGUUCACUUUCCAUCUACUUUGUUAAGUUUGCAAAUUUAUUUGGCAUGCUAUGGUUCAUCAUUGGUUAAACAAGCACUUGUAUUCGCGUAUAUUAUGUAUAGCUAGAUACGUACAAGCUAAAGCAUCCUUCUUUA